rnacentral:rRNA from 1 species
UCGAACGAAUCCCAUCUGGGUAACUGGGUGGGGGAAGUGGCGAAAGGGGCAGUAAGGCAUGGGUAACCUGCCUCGGGGAUGGGGAUAGCCCUCCUAACGGAGGGGUAAUACCCAGCGAUCUGACGGAGGGGCAUCUCUCUGUCAGGAAAUGAGUUUCGCCUCGAGAGGGGCUCAUGUGGUAUUAGCUUGUUGGUGAGGUAACGGCUCACCAAGGCCAAGAUGCCUAGCAGGUGUGAGAGCACGACCUGCGCCACUGGCACUGUGACACUGGCCAGACUCCUACGGGAGGCUGCAGUCGAGGAUCUUCGGCAAUGGGCGCAAGCCUGACCGAGCGACGCCGCGUGUGCGAUGAAGGCCUUCGGGUUGUAAAGCACUGUCGAGGGGGAGAAAAGCCCGCAAGGGUCUGAUCUAUCCCUGGAGGAAGCACGGGCUAAGUUCGUGCCAGCAGCCGCGGUAAGACGAACCGUGCGAACGUUGUUCGGAAUCACUGGGCUUAAAGGGCGCGUAGGCGGGCGGUCAAGUCUGUGGUGAAAUCCUUCGGCUCAACCGGAGAAUAGCUGGAGAUACUGGCCGUCUCGAGGGGGGUAGGGGCAUGUGGAACUUCCGGUGGAGCGGUGAAAUGCGUAGAUAUCGGAAGGAACGCCGGUGGCGAAAGCGACGUGCUGGACCCUUUCUGACGCUGAGGCGCGAAAGCCAGGGGAGCAAACGGGAUUAGAUACCCCGGUAGUCCUGGCCCUAAACGAUGGGUACUAGAUUGUGGGCUAACAUGGGUUCACAGUCGAAGC